UACGAAGGGGACUAGCGUUGUUCGGAAUCACUGGGCGUAAAGCGCACGUAGGCGGAUUUGUAAGUCAGGGGUGAAAUCCCGGGGCUCAACCUCGGAACUGCCUUUGAUACUGCGAGUCUUGAGUCCGAUAGAGGUGGGUGGAAUUCCUAGUGUAGAGGUGAAAUUCGUAGAUAUUAGGAAGAACACCGGUGGCGAAGGCGGCCCACUGGAUCGGUACUGACGCUGAGGUGCGAAAGCGUGGGGAGCAAACAGGAUUAGAUACCCGGGUAGUCC
rnacentral:rRNA from 1 species